CGGGGGGGGCUAGCGUUGUUCGGAAUUACUGGGCGUAAAGGGCUCGUAGGUGGCCAACUAAGUCAUGCGUGAAAUCCCUCGGCUUAACGGGGGAACUGCGUCUGAUACUGGAUGGCUUGAAUCCGGGAGAGGGAUGCGGAAUUCCAGGUGUAGCGGUGAAAUGCGUAGAUAUCUGGAGGAACACCGGUGGCGAAGGCGGCAUCCUGGACCGGCAUUGACACUGAGGAGCGAAAGCCAGGGGAGCAAACGGGAUUAGAUACCCCGGUAGUCCUGGCCCUAAACGAUGACUGCUUGGUGUGACGGGUAUCGAUCCCUGUCGUGCCGAAGCUAACGCAUUAAGCAUUCCGCCUGGGGAUACGGUCGCAAGGCUG
rnacentral:rRNA from 1 species